UACGUAGGGUGCGAGCGUUAAUCGGAAUUACUGGGCGUAAAGGGUGCGCAGGCGGCCGCGCAAGUCGAGUGUGAAAUCCCCGAGCUUAACUUGGGAAUUGCGCUCGAAACUACGUGGCUGGAGUGUGGCAGAGGAAGGUGGAAUUCCACGUGUAGCGGUGAAAUGCGUAGAGAUGUGGAGGAACACCGAUGGCGAAGGCAGCCUUCUGGGCCAACACUGACGCUCAUGCACGAAAGCGUGGGGAGCAAACAGG
rnacentral:rRNA from 1 species